GCUGGGUCCCGGGCCGGGCGGGGCUCUAGGGCAACUUUUUGGUUGGUUGCCGCCGGGUGCUGAUCGCCCAGGCCCCUUUUAAACUGGGUGUCUCCCUGUCUCUCUCCCCUUUCUGCCUCCGCGCGUGACUCGGCUGACAAGAUGCUGACAAGCUUAAGGGCUGGUGCUUGAAAGAAGCUUUUCCAGGAGAUAAGGUGUAUUUGAACAUGUGAUGAUUGAUAUAUACAGAAUAGAGUU
rnacentral:lncRNA from 1 species